ensembl:lncRNA
AAAUUAAAUAAAAAUACCCAAAACUGUAUACAGUACCAUAACGAAGACGAACUGUAUGUUGAUAUGUGAAAUUCUGGAGGGACGUCGGACGGCGUGGCGCAGUGACGUAAUGACGCGGGCUGUUAAUCUAAUUAUGUUCUAAAACAUGUAAAACGGGCACAAGAAAGGAGUAUUCUAAAAGUGACUCAUUUGUGUACAAGUCUCUCAGUUGUCCUCAGUGUGAAAAGAUGGAUCUCAGCAUCAUAUAGUUGCUGUUGGAAAGGGGUCACAUAUGCAGAAGAUGCUGGAAAAGCAAAGAAUGUGCAGGACCUGGAGGAUUUUUCUGAAGAACAGUUACUUGAUGCUCGGUCUUGUUGUGUUGCUGGUCGUUAUGGAGAGCUUCUGGAAGCUUCAGCAAGUGCAGGCCUUGGUGCGUCUCUUUGUUGGGUCUACAACAGCGUCACUAAAAGAAGAUGAUCUUGAGGAGCUAGUGCUAGGUGAAUGGCCAGACAGCCAUGAUAUUCCAACAGCGGCUGUUCAGUUUAGACCCCCUAUCUCCAUCAUCUCACAUCGCAUGUCUGAUUCACCAGCAUUCCCUUUUGUGGAGGAUGCAUGUACAUCAUUUACAGCAAAAGCGGCAACUUAUAAGAAGACCGUGUGUCCGCAACAUCAGCCAGACACUGAUCCAGACCCAGCUGAUCAAAACAACUGAUUACCAAAAUCAAAUGUCUUUAAACACGGUCACUAAAUUU